rnacentral:rRNA from 1 species
GCCAGCAGUCAUAUCACUCUGCAACUCACAACUGGCAACCCACUGAAGCUAAGCAGGUGUGAGCCUGGUCAGUACCUGGAUGGAGACCUCCUGGGAAAAACUAAGGUUGCUGCNNNNN